AGGCCUGAGGACUGCUACUCCCAGGGGAAGUUAGAUUGUCCGGAAAUGGAUGAAAAGAGGCUGCUGGAUCCAGGGUUGAAGGUUCAUAAAGGCCUCUGGGAUUAUACUCUGAAGAACCCGCAGACGGAAUGCCUGAGUGACUGAAGAAAAUGGGUGCUAAUGCAUCUAAUUAUCCUCAUUCAUGUUCCCCGAGGGUAGGGGGAAAUUCACAGGCCCAACAGACUUUUAUAGGGACCUCAUCCUAUUCUCAGCAAGGCUAUGGUUGCGAAUCAAAGUUGUAUAGCCUUGACCAUGGCCAUGAGAAACCACAAGACAA
rnacentral:lncRNA from 1 species